UCCAGCUGCAGCUCCUCAGCAGCCCAAACCCAAUACCACCCCCAACAAGCCUGCAGCUCAGGACAAUGUUGACAAUGUGAUUGUCAUUGAUGAUGCACCGCCACCAUCAAAGCCGGCUAACCAAAAUCAGCAGAAGAACAUGAAUGGAGGAAACUUUGGAGGCAACAAGCAAGGAGGCUGGCAAGGUGGAAACAAGCAAGGUGGCAACUUCAACCAAGGUGGCAACUUCAACCAAGGUGGUAACUUCCAACAUGGGCAAAAUCAGAACCAGGGCCAUGGUGGUAAAUUCGGUGGGAACAAGAAUUUUGGCCAGAAUCAGGGUGGCCAAGGAGGUUUUGGCCAGAAGCAGGGAGGAGGCCCUGGUGGUCCUGCCAGGAAUCAGCAGAGGCAAAGCCGAGGGCCGAUGCUGGAUAGUCAGGGAAAACCAGUACAGAGAGAGGAACAAAUGCUUGCCAACAAGUUGAAGGAUCUGGUUGGACCGCUGGUUGACCUGCCCCCACUAGACCAGUCUGAAAUCAAGUUCAACGGAAGGAGCCGACUGUACAUCGGAAACUUCACCUCGGAUAUGACUGAAGAGGAAAUUCUGGGUUUGUUCGCUCCUUAUGGAGAAUCAUCAGAGCUGUUUUUGAACAAGGAGAAGAACUUUGGAUUUAUUAAAAUGGACUACAGAGUAAACGCGGAAAAAGCCAAGCGCGAGUUGGACGGCAAAAUGCGCAAUGGGCGAACAUUGCGAGUGCGGUUCGCGCCCCACAACAGUGCCGUGCGCGUCAAGAACCUGCCGCCGUUCGUGUCCAACGAGCUCCUGUACCGCGCCUUCGAGAUCUUCGGCAAGAUCGAGAGGGCCUACGUGAAGGUGGACGAGCGAGGGAAGUCCAUUGGAGAAGGAGUUGUGGAGUAUGCUAGGAAGCCUAGCGCGUUGGCAGCUAUCCGCAACUGCACUGAGAGAUGCUUCUUCUUGACUUCGUCACUACGGCCAGUAAUUGUGGAAAACUUUGAGGAACCCGAUGAGUUUGAUGGUUACCCAGAGAAGAACCUGCCCAAGAAGCAUCCCGAUUUUAUUCGCGCCCGUGAGUACGGGCCGCGCUUCUCCGAGGCCAACAGCUUCGAGCACGAGUACGGCACGCGGUGGAAGCAGCUGCACGAGCUGCACCGCCAGAAGGAGGAGGCGCUCAAGAAGGAGCUGGCCGCCGAGGAGGAGAAGCUAGAGGCGCAGAUGGAGUAUGCCAAAUACGAGCACGAGACGGAGAUGCUGCGCGAGCAACUGCGGCAGCGCGAGCAGGACCGCGAGCGGCAGAAGCGCUCGUGGGAGCAGGCGGAGCGCGCCGCCGACGAGCGCCGCGAGCAGGAGCGCGCGCUGCUGCUGCGCCAGGAGGAGGACCUCACGCAGCGCAUGCGCCACCAGGACGACGAGCUGCGCCGUCGCCAGCAGGAGAACACGCUCUUCGUGCAGGCCCAGCGACUCAACUCCAUGUUGGAUCGCCAAGAGCAGGGCAUGUUCGACCAACAGCAGCCUAUGGUGUCCGUAUUCAGCUAGAUCGCGGAACUUAAUGGAAAAGGUCAAACAUGAAUAAUCUUUGGUUUAAAUUAAACACUUAAAACAUUCGGGGUUGCAGCUACGCUCUGAAAUAGUUCAAGGAUGGACGGAGCUUCUGUGGACUGCGAAACGAUCAACGAAUGAAGAAUAGAAUAAAUGUACACAAAACUGAUCGAUAUAGCUUUCAAACACACAUUUUAGUACAUAAACAUAACCUAGUUAGGUGACAGUCCAUAAAGUAUAAAUUUGAAACCACAAAACUAAGGCUGUGGACUGGACGCUAGCAGCGCGUGAUUCGGUGAGCGGGAAAUCCAGGCAUUCUUAGCAUUCUUACUCCGCUUGACCAAAUGUAUUAGAUUAGAUUAAUUUAUUUCUCAUUGAAAAUGUACAUUAAAUUUUACAUGUCAGAAUAAAAUAAAAUGCAUUCACAAAAAGAUCGUCAUUACACAAUAUCAAAAUAAUGUAUAUAAUAAUAAUGUAUAUGAUGUAUGAAUCUUGACAUGCCGCUUGCCGAAGGGUUAGGUAUUUCCACUAGUUACCGCGAAGGGACAAAAAUCCCACCUUAUAUCGGAAACGUUCGUUUUGACUUGUUAGAUCGGUCAACGUUAGUACUUUUUGCACUGAAACUGACUGAAAUGGCGUGUGUUUCUUGAAAUACGAAGGAAAAAACAUUUCUUACUACAUCUGUAGUUAGGUACCACUGGUAACAACUUUGUGGUAACUAAUGGGUAUAAUCUUCUCUAACUGCGCCGCUAGCGUCCAGCCUGCAAUUUCUCGCACAUUCUUAUAAAACAGGCGAUGAAAUAGAUUAAAAAUAAUAUAAUUAUAGUUAAAUUAAUGUCUUUUAAACAUAUUUACAUAGAUGUUGCCUUCUAAUUCAUCGAUUAAUAUCACCCAUGUAGUUUGAAGAGAAUAUAUUUUUGUAGUACAUACAUUCGAAUAAGAACCUGUAGUUAGGUUAUCCGGUUGCUGUAUUAAUUUUACGGUCAGGAUACUUGAUAUUCGUAAGUUAAGCAUUUCCAACUAAAACAUUUGUAAUUGUAGUAAAAAAACUUUGACUGAUUUUAUUGUUUGUUAAUAACUUUUAUUAUUGUGAUACCUUGAUGCAACUGUGAUAAUUGACUUUUUUCUGACUCCAUUACAGUUUUGAUAAGUCAA